UACGUAGGUGGCAAGCGUUAUCCGGAAUUAUUGGGCGUAAAGCGCGCGUAGGCGGUUUUUAAGUCUGAUGUGAAAGCCCACGGCUCAACCGUGGAGGGUCAUUGGAAACUGGAAAACUUGAGUGCAGAAGAGGAAAGUGGAUUCCAUGUGUAGCGGUGAAAUGCGCAGAGAUAUGGAGGAACACCAGUGGCGAAGGCGACUUUCUGGUCUGUAACUGACGCUGAUGUGCGAAAGCGUGGG
rnacentral:rRNA from 1 species